UAAUAGUGACACGGCCUUGACUGUUAGAUAAUCACUUGGUAUAAUGCGUCUUUAUUACCAAUCUUGACAAUCUCGACUAAAAACAAAAUAUUACGACUGGUUGAAUUCGCAUCAAAACGUCUGCACGUUACUGGAACAUUGUAGACUUAACACAGAGUACUAUAUAUAUGUUUAAACGUAACACAACUGACCACUCUGCAGUAAUUGUCGCACAAGAAGCAACCAAGACAAACGCUAGGAAUUUUUAAGUUAACGACUGAAAAGAUUUCAUUCACAGAAAACACAAGGUAACCAUAAACAUGGCUGGACGAGCUUUGAUUCCCUUUUUGGCUGAAGACCUUUACUUUGAUGACAUCUUUGACGAAAUCAAUAGAAAUGCCAUGAGAAUGCAGCAUGAUAUGAGAAAUGCUAUGAUGA